AUUCAGCUGACGAGUGCCAAAUAGGACGAAACGCACGUUGUGGAU
rfam:Schistosoma haematobium scaffold1561_2, whole genome shotgun sequence.